rnacentral:rRNA from 1 species
ACUCAAAUGAAUUGACGGGGACCCGCACAAGCGGUGGAUGAUGUGGAUUAAUUCGAUGCAACGCGAAAAACCUUACCUACCCUUGACAUGCUUGGAAUCCUGCAGAGAUGUGGGAGUGCCCGAAAGGGAACCAAGGCACAGGUGCUGCAUGGCUGUCGUCAGCUCGUGUCGUGAGAUGUUGGGUUAAGUCCCGCAACGAGCGCAACCCUUGUCACUAGUUGCUACGAAAGGGCACUCUAGUGAGACCGCCGGUGACAAACCGGAGGAAGGUGGGGAUGACGUCAAGUCCUCAUGGCCCUUAUGGGUAGGGCUUCACACGUCAUACAAUGGUCGGUACAGAGGGCUGCUAACCCGCGAGGGGGAGCUAAUCCUAGAAAACCGAUCGUAGUCCGGAUUGCAGUCUGCAACUCGACUGCAUGAAGUCGGAAUCGCUAGUAAUCGCGGAUCAGCAUGUCGCGGUGAAUACGUUCCCGGGUCUUGCACACACCGCCCGU